GUUUAAAGUAAGACAGACAAAAUAAAGUUUGAGGAAACUAUUUUUUAAAUUGUACAUUUAUCAUGACAGUUUGGGGGUUAAUCUCUGGAACCAGCACAAGGAUGAAUGAGUGUAUCUAUGGAAAAUCCAGAAGGUUUGACCUUCCAGAGUCAACAGUGUGGAUUUUGCUGACUCCCUACUUAUGAAAGAAAUCUUGUCAUUUAUGGCAACAUGGACGAACUUGGGAGACAUUUAUGUUAAGUGAAAUAAAGCAGGCACGUGAAGCAAAUACUGCAUGAGCUCAUUUACACGUGGAAUCCAAAAGUGUUGAAUUCAUUGAAGCAAAGACUAGAAUGGCAGUUACUAGAGUCUGUGGUAAGUGUCCGCUCCUAUCCCAGUUACAUUCAACCAGAAGACAUCACCUAUCUAAAACCAUGGGGUAGGUUCCAUGAACCAGACUGAAAACUCAAGAGUAUUUCAAAUCCUUGACCACAACAAUUCUAGAUACAUUCAAAUCCUUCUUUUCUUUAGGAACACCAGCUACACAAAUGAUGAGUCCAGUACAUAUUUUGUUAACAUGAAAAUGCUUCUUGAUAAAAGUGAAAGAGAGAGAGAGAGAAAUGCUGCCAUUUAUUGGAACCCUAUAUUUAGCCAUGCUCAAAGUCAGCACCAAUCCUUUUGAUUUUUCAUAAGCUAACAACUUUCUUUUGAUUACAAUAACGUGGAUUGUGUUUCUAUUGGUUACAAUGCAAAACAUCCUAUUAUGGAGAAGCAGAGUGCUCCCUGUGCUGAAGAGGAGGUAAGCCUUCUGGGCCACUAUACCACCAUCUCCAGUGGUGAGGAGCAGAGCCACCUCCAACACUGAGGACGAUGUGAGCCUUCCAGGCUGCUAUACCACUGCCCCCAGUACCAAGAAGCAGAGCUGUGCCCAGUGCUGAAGAGGAGUCUUCCAGGCUGCCAUACCACCACUCCCAGAUCUGAGGAGCAGAGACACCCUCAGCACUCAGAAGGAGCCUUUCAGGCCACCGUACCAUCACCCAC
rnacentral:lncRNA from 1 species